UGAGGAAUAUUGGGCAAUGCCCGCAAGGGUGACCCAGCAACGCCGCGUGGAGGAUGAAUGUCGUAAGAUUGUAAACUCCUGUUAGAGGGGAAGAAUAGUACCGGUUGGACCGGUAUAUGACUGUACCCUCAGAGAAAGCCCCGGCUAACUACGUGCCAGCAGCCGCGGUAAUACGUAGGGGGCAAGCGUUGUCCGGAUUUACUGGGUGUAAAGGGCGCGCAGGCGGGAUAAAAAGUCAGUGGUGAAAUCCUACAGCUUAACUGUAGAACUGCCUUUGAUACUUUUAUUCUUGAGUUCGGGAGAGAGUGACGGAAUUCCUGGUGUUGUGGUGAAAUACGUAGAUAUCUGGAAGAACACCAGUUGCGAAGGCGGUCUCUUGGUCCGACACUGACGCUGAGGCGCGAAAGCGUGGGGAGCAAACA
rnacentral:rRNA from 1 species